rnacentral:lncRNA from 1 species
UUCAGAUGGAGUCUCACUUUGUCACCCAGGCUGGAAUGCAGUGGCACAAUCUUGGCUCACCACAACCUCCAGCUCCCAGGUUCAAGCGAUUCUCCUGCCUCGGCCUCCUGCAUAGCUGGGAUUACAGAGCAAGCAAGCAAUCAGUGGAACAAAACAGCCAUGAAGAUCAACUGUGUUCAGCCAAUUGUGGAAAUUUGGUAUAAAUUAAAACACCAUUAAAACAGUUCUCAGAAAUUCACAGCUAACUAGUUCAACAUCAAUAUCAGUUACAGACGUUCCAGGAUCUAAUCUUGGAAGUGCAGAACGAGAAGUCUACAAAGAGAAAUUUUUGGACAAAGUACGUGAUUGUAUUGUAAGAGUAGUGUACUCACUGCAUAGAGCCAUGGUUAUUGUAAGAAUGUUGUAACUGUUAUUUGUCAUUCCUUACAACAUGAAACAAGCUCCCACUAAAUAUAUCUGUAAGUGUUAACAAGAGUAUGAAAUAAAACCCAUCAUUCUUUAGAAAUAAAAGAUUUAACAAGUCAGAAUUUUAAUGGAAUGGCAUUUAAAGAACAAAAUAAACAUUAAUCACUGGGAGACUAUCAAUGUUUAUAAAAACAAAAAAAAGGAAUACUAAGGAAAAAUAUAAACUUUUUCAUUAAAUUUCAGACAUUAGGGCUUAGCAAGCCCUCCUUGACCUUUAUGAUAAUUACUUUGGGAUUCCGUUUCAAGAUGGCCAAAUAGGAACAGCUCUGGACUUCGGCUCCCAGCACAAUCAACACAGAAGAUGGGUGAUUUCUACAUUUCAAACUGAGCCUCUGCUGGUGAUACCCAGGCAAACAGGGUCUGGAGUGGACCUCCAGCAAACUCUGACAGACUUGCAGCUGAGGGACCUAACUGUUAGAAGGAAAACUAACAAACAGAAAGGAAUAGCAUCAACACCAACAAAAAGGACGACCACACCAAAACCCCAUCUGUAGGUCACCAACGUCAAAGACCAAAGGUAGAUAAAACCACAAAGAUAGGGAGAAACCAGAACAGAAAAGCUGAAGAUUCUAAAAACCACAGAGCCUCUUUUCCUCCAAAGGAUCACAGCUACUCACCAGCAACAGAAUAAAGCUGGAUGGAGAAUGACUUUGAUGAUCUGACAGAAGUAGGCUUCAGAAGGUCGGUAAUAACAAACGUCUCUGAGCUAAAGGAGGAUGUUGGAACCCAUUGCAAGGAAGCUAAAAACCUUGAAAAAAGAUUAGACGAAUGGCUAACUAGAAUAAACAUGUAGAGAAGACCUUAAGUGAUCUGAUGGAGCUGAAAACCAUGGCACGAGAACUACGUGACACAUGCACAAGCUUCAAUAGCUGAUUUGAUCAAUUGGAAGAAAGAGUAUCAGUGAUUGAAGAUCAAAUUAAUAAAAUAAAAUGAGAAGUUUAGAGAAAAAAGAGUAAAAAGAAAUGAACAAAGCCCCCAAGAAAGAUGGGACAAUGUGAAAAGACCAAAUCUACAUUUGAUUGGUGUACCUGAAGGUGACGGGGAGAAUGGAACCAAGUUGGAAAACACUCCGCAGGAUAUUAUCCCGGAGAAUUUCCCCAACCUAGCAAAGCAGGCCAACAUUCAAAUUCAGGAAAUAGAGAGAGCACCACAAAAAUACUCCUUGAGAAGAGCAACCCCAAGACAAAUAAUUGUCAGAUUCACCAAGGUUGAAAUGAAGGAAAAAAAUUGUUAAGGGCAGCCAGAGAGAAAGGUUGGGUUACCCACAAAGGGAAGCCCAGCAGACUAACAGCAGAUCUCUCAGCAGAAACUCUGCAAGCCAGAAGAGAGUGGGGGCCAAUAUUCAACAUUCUUAAAGAAAAGAAUUUUCAACCCAGAAUUUUAUAUCCAGCCAAACUGAGCUUCAUAAGUGAAGGAGAAAUAAAAUCCUUUACAGACAAGCAAAUGAUGAGAGAUUUUGUUAACAUCAGGCCUGCCUUACAAGAGCUCCUGAAGGAAGCACUAAACAUGGAAAGGAACAACUAGUACCAGCCGCUGAAAAAACAUGCCAAAUUGUAAAGACCAUCAAUGCUAGGAAGAAACUGCAUCAACUAAUGAGCAAAAUAACCAGCUAACAUCAUAAUGACAGGAUCAAAUUCACACAUAACAAUAUUAACCUUAAAUGUAAAUGGGCUAAAUUACCCAAAUAAAAGACACAGACUGGCAAAUUGGAUAAAGAGUCAAGACCCAUCAGUGUGCUGUAUUCAGGAGACCCAUCUCAUGUGCAGAGACACACAUAGGCUCAAAAUAAAGGGAUGGAGGAAGAUCUACCAAGGAAAUGGAAAGCAAAAAAAAAAAAGAAAAAAAAGCAGGAGUUGCAAUCUUAGUUUCUGAUAAAACUGACUUUAAACCAACAAAGAUCAAAAGAGACAAAGAAGGCCACUACAUAAUGGUAAAGGGAUCAAUUCAACAAGAAGAUAUAACUAUCCUAAAUAUAUAUAUGCACCCAAUACAGGAGCACCCAGAUUCAUAAAGCAAGUCCUUAGAGACUUAGACUCCCACACAAUAAUAAUGUGACACUUUAACACCCCACUCUCAAUAUUAGACAGAUCAAUGAGACAGGAUGUUAACAAGGAUAUCCAGGACUGGAACUCAGCUCUGCACCAAGCUGACCUAAUAGACAUCUACGGAACUCUCCACCCCAAAUCAACAGAAUAUACAUUCUUCUCAGCACCAUAUUGCACUUAUUCCAAAAUUGACCACAUAGUUGGAAGUAAAGCACUCUUCAGCAAAUGUAAAAGAACAAAAAUCACAACAAACUGUCUCUCACAGCACAGUGCAAUCAAAUUAGAACUCAGGAUUAAGAAACUCACUCAAAACCGCUCAACUACAUGGAAACUGAACAACCUGCUCCUGAAUGACUACGAGGUAAAUAACAAAAUAAAGACAGAAAUAAAGAUGUUCUUUGAAACCAAUGAGAACAACGACACAGCAUACCAGAAUCUCUGGGACACAUUUAAAACAGUGUGUAAAGGGAAAUUUAUAGCACAAAUGCCCACAGGAGAAAGCAGGAAAGAUCUAAAAUCAACACCCUAACAUCACAAUUAAAAGAACUAGAGAAGCAAGGGCAAACAAAUUCAAAAGCUAGCAGAAGGCAAGAAAUAACUAAGAACAGAGCAGAACUGAACAAGAUAGAGACACAAAAAACCCUUCAAAAAAUCAGUGAAUCCAGGUGCUGGUUUAUUUAUUUAUGCAGCCAACAGACACAUGAAAAAAUGCUCAUCAUCACUGGUCAUCAGAGAAAUGCAAAUGAAAUCCACAAUGAGAUACCAUCUCACACCAGUUAGAAUGGCGAUCCUUAAAAGGUCAGGAAACAAUGGAUGCUGGAGAGGAUGUGGAGAAAUAGGAAGGCUUUUACACUGUUUGUGGGAGUGUAAACUAGUUCAACCAUUGUGGAAGACAGUGUGGCGAUUCCUCAAGGAUCUAGAACUUGAAAUACCAUUUGAACCAGUGAUCCCAUUACUGGGUAUAUACCCAAAGGAUUAUAAAUCAUGCUACUAUAAAGACACAUGCACAUGUAUGUUUAUUGCAGCACUAUUCACAAUAGCAAAAACUUGGAACCAACCCAAAUGUCCAUCAAUGAAAGACUGGAUUAAGAAAAUGUGGCACGUAUACACGAUGGAAUUCUAUGCAGCCAUAGAAAAGGAUGAGUUCAUGUCCUUUGCAGGGACAUGGAUGCAGCUGGAAACCAUCAUUCUGAGCAAACUAUCACAAGGACAGAAAACCAAACACCACAUGUUCUCACUCAUAGGUGGGAACUGAACAAUGAGAACGCUUAGACACUGGGCAGAGAACAUCACACCCUGGGUUCUGUCGUGGGGUGGGGGGAGGCUGGAGGGAUACCAUUAGGAGAAAUAUCUAAUGUAAAUGACAAGUUAAUGGGUGCAGCACACCAACAUGGCACAUGUAUACCUAAGUAACAAAACUGCAUGUUGUGCAUAUGUACCCUAGAUCUUAAAGUAUAAUAAUAAAAAAUAAAUAUAUAAAAUACUUAUUUUGGGAAAAAAUGAAGAAAAGAGAGCAAUGUGUUCUAUACAAUACCGUAGAUAAUGAAAUUUAGAAAUUUCUUUUUGUGACAGAAUCAACAAGAACAACAGCAACUACAACAAAAAUAGAGAUGCCAUCCGGUGACAUAUAAAGACGGAUUCCAUAGAGAGAUGACUUGGUUGGGUCACAAUGGAUCAGACUCUAGCUUUCAAUUUAAUAAGAUCAGAAACUCAGAUUUAUCAGCUGUGGAGUAUUAAACAAAACUAGUUAUAUUCAGAAGAGACUGGUUGUAUAGAAACACAAAUUUUAACUUAUUAAUUUAAACAGCAUAAUUACUGCUAAGGUGAUGGAUCAGCAGGCUAUUUUUUCAAGAGGAGAAUUCUACUUGGGUAGCAAACUUAUAAUUAGGAAUUUUUUUGACAGCAUGAAAUAAAACAUGGUAUUAGAAUUAAACUUAUUGGACAGAAUGCCUUUAUAAUGGAAUCACACCUUGAUCACUGUGUCUCAAACUUGAACAUUCACAAAAAUAUCUCAAAUAGAAAGAAAAAGCUUUUCCUAAAAGUUUUUAGAAAAACACUGAGAAUACAACCAUUUUCCUUCAAGAGUUAGAGGUAUUUUAUUCUUGUUCUAUAAAUCAGGAUGCAAAUAUAAUAAGAUUCAAAAGGGAAUUUAUGAAUGAUAAUUACAGGCAAUUUGGAAUGUUUGGAAUUUAGGGCUCAAAUCAUAAGAAAUAAUUUUCUCUCCCAUAGCCUGGACUCAUUUCCAUUUGAAAAGAUCAAGCCAGGUUUAAUUAGUUAUGAGUUGGCCAUAUAAAUAACAUUUAUAAUUUCAUAUAAACUGGUAAAAAUUAUGUAAAAGUGAAUUUCUGAAAUAUUGUCACUGCUUCUAAAAAUCUGAAUAUGCUGAUGUUAAGAAGGCUUGAUAGGAGUCAAUUAGGAACACUUAAAGAAUCCUAAAGUGAAUGCCUUCUGCAUGGAUGUCAGCAGUGAAGACCAAGAAAUGCUGCUGCUACCUUUUAAAUAGUCAGAAGCACACUUAAAAAUACAUAUAUAUACAUAUAUAUUUAUUAUGUAUAAAAGUAUAUAUACAUAAUAUAUAUAUAUAUUUUUGUGUGCGUAUAUAUAUAUACACACUUUAUAAUGGUCUAAGUCAGUAAUUAUUAACUAAGGGUGACCAUCAGAAUCACUGGUGGAUUUUUUUUCUCAUAUACGUGCCUGGCCUCUACUCUGUACUUUCUAAAUAGAAAUUUCAUGGGUGAGGCUUAAACAUACAUGUUUUUGAAAAGCUCCAUGGGGUAAUUCUGAUACUAAGAUUUGAGGUUAAACAUGGGCAAAACUGCCAGUGUUAUAGUGUUAGGACAGGAUAUCAGAAUUCAAAACCUAAUGGGACAGGAAAUUUGGAUUCUAUGAUUGGAAAUGUGCUCAGAUGCAGCACUCAUCUGCUUGUGAAAGCCAUUACUAUGUCAUUUCCUCUGACCAAAGGCUGGAUUUGAAAGAAUGGGUUGGGUUGGGUCCCAGCUUUGUUGUUCAUCCAAGAUGUUUUUAUGUUUAGUUAUAUAUAAGGGAUGGGAAAUUACUAAGCCAGUGCUAGUUUAAUAAAGUUGAAAACAUUUGUAAAUAGCUUUAUUUGGUGAUGAAAUGAAAAUAAUUUAUUUCGAGAAGUUGGAUGGAAAAUCAAUUUGCAUUUUACUAAAAUUGUUUGCAUUCUAGCAAGGCAGGGAAUUUGAUAAUGGCCAUGUUUUUAAUUAUUAACACCCUGUUUCUAAGUUCCUGAGAUUUCAGGCCAGCCCAAGAAUCAAGACAGAGAUGGCAAGAUCUGAACCUGAG